GAUGAACGCUGGCGGCGUGCCUAAUACAUGCAAGUCGAGCGAACAGAUGAGGACCUUGCUCCUCUGACGUUACCGGCGGACGGGUGAGUAACACGUGGAGAACUUACCUAUAAGACUGGCAUAACUUCGGGAAACCGGUGCUAAUACCGGAUAAUAGAUGCAUCCGCAUGGUUCAAUAGUUAAAGACGGUUUUGCUGUCACUGAUAGAUGGAUCGGCGACGCAUUAGCUAGUUGUUAAGGUAACGGCUUACCUAGGCAACGAUGCGUAGUCGACCUGGGAGGGGGGGGUGACCCACUGCACUGGAACUGCGGCACAGACCACUACGGGAGGGAAGGGUAGAGUAUCUUACGCAAUGGGCGAGAGCCUGACGGAGCACCGCCGCGUGGGUGGUAAGGGUCUUCGCAUCGUAGAUCUCUGCUAUUAGGGAAGAACAAAUGUGUAAGUAACUAUGCAGGUCUUGACGGUACUUUACCAGAAAGCCACGGCUAACUACGUG
rnacentral:rRNA from 1 species